GAUAAUGUAAAAUCAAAUUUAUAUAAUAAUAUUUGGAAUACAACAAUGUACUUCUCUUGCGGUAUUUAGAACGCAAUGUUUAAAAAGUAUAGAUAUAUAUAUUUAUAGCCAAUUAGCCAAUAAAUAGACGGUUAUUCGUAAAGUGUUAUAUUAUUUUUAUUGUAUCAUUUUUUUAGGAAUUCCGAUGAAACGUUUUAAUACAAAAAGCUGAACAAAAUCACAAGCACCACUUUAGUUAUACGUAUAAAAACAUUUAUAUUUAUUCUACUUCAAUAUUUAAAUUAAUACGUUUAUAGAUAUAAAUAAUUAUAACGUUUGUACAUAAAAUUAUUUAAUAACUUCAUUAUUAUACUACUUAUAAGAUGUUGUUUAAUGAAAUUUGUAAUUUAUUGAACAUGUGUAAUUAAGCUUACAUAACAUAUAUAUGACACUUUAUAUAGCAGCUUUAUUUUAAAAUAAUUAAAUUUUGACCAAAUAAUUAAAAUAUUAAUAAUUUCAAGACAUAUUUAUAAUUUUGUAAUUACUCGUAAUCAAUGUGUAAAUAAGAUUAUUUAAAUAAUUUGGCUUUGCGCUGAGGCUCGUUAUAUACAUGCAUGAUACAAUAAUGAUUAUAAAAAGUUAUGAUAUCGAUAAUGACUGCAAAUGCGCAAAUACAGCAGAUGACAGAACACAGCUCGUAUUACGCACAAUCUUUGUGAAAACAUUUGUACGAAGCUUUACACACACAGGCACACAACACACACACACACAUAUUCCUUAAUAACGUGAAUAUCGCUCAUGCUAGUCGAUGCGAGACAUCCGCAUCUGGGAAGAAUAUUGCAAUCAGUUGUAACCAGACAUUUCACCGCGUAAUAAAUUAUACUCGACCACUCGUUGUGUCCACAACGCUAAUUGGAUGCUGAAGCGGAGUACAAACGUUCGAGAUUUCUGCAAUCUUUGAAUCGUUUUGUAAAGCGCUUUGUCCUUUAAUUGUAUUGCGCGAUACACAUUGAAAUUGUUAAAAUUAAUUAAUUGACAAUUUAACUAAAACAUCUUUACUUCUAUUAACUUAAAUUUUAUGUUUGUAAAUCUAAUUUGUUAUUAAUCUUUUUUAAGUUUAUUUUUUGAAAACGUUGGAAAAUAUGUUUGUUGAUUAAAAUAAUUAUAACUUUCAUGAUAAUAUAAAGAAUUAAGUUUACUUGAUAUUAAUUGCAAUUUGCUAUUAAAGAACAAAUCACUACACGAAUUUAAACUUGCAGACUUCGGAGUUUGCGCAUUUGAUAACAAUUUAAUGGUAGGCUAAAGUGAAGAUUACGUGUUUUGAAUAUAGAAAUAUAGGAAUGUUUUUUAAUCUUAAGCAGGAAUAUAUUAUCCAUAAUGAGUGUUCAAGUCAAUUAUUUUGUAGUGCUUUAUAUUAAAGCCCAUCUGCGAACGAAGGACGCAAAGAAGGAGGAAACAAUUCAGUAAGAGAGAGAGAAUGGUAAAAAGAUCAACAAAUAUAAGCAGAGGGGCAGUAAGGGGCAAAAGGAGCUGGAGGGAAGAAAUGCGAAGAAAAAGGAAAAGCUGUGUACACAAUGAAAGCUGAGAGAGGACAGCGUAAAAUUUUUUUAUUACUUUGUUUAGACACUUUACAUAGAAAAUGAAAAUUUUAAUUUUAUAAAUAAAAAAAGACAAACGCGCGAUUAAAUAAUCUAAAAAAAUAUUUUUAUAAUUCUCUUAAUUAAUUUAUUACAAAUUAUCAAUGUACUACUUCAUUUUAUUAAUAUCCUAUUUUUCUGUCCAUACACACAUACAUUGCGCACAAUUUGUAUGAAUAUAUUCUAUGUCUAUUAUUAUGUUUUUAAUAAUACAAUUUUUUAAUGUAAAAUAAAUACAUGAACAGCAUCAGAUUAUUUAAGUCUUGUUUAAUUUUAUAUCUAAAAGAUACAGUUACCCACUAAUGAAACAAGUGUAAAAUACCGUGUGGAAGACUGCACGUAUAUGAGCGUAGUGAUUUAGACAGAAAGAUAAAUAUAUGGAAAGUGCGAUAAAGCAGAUAGCAAGGCGGAUAGAUAGACGAACAGAGAGGGGGUGGUUAACGAGAUAGGGCGAUAGAGAGAGAACGA